GCAGCCUAUGUUAAAAAUGUCGACUCUCUUCUACCUCUUAUCUGUUCAAAUGCAGGAAGACCUUUACAAAAAAAAAAAAAAAAAACCAACAUACAGCACCUUGGAGAAUUCAUUUUCACCUGUGCCAUUUCACCUGUACUCAUUCUGAUAAGUUAUGUGCUGCAUAUUUUGUGCUCCAAAUGUUUUCACACUAUCAAUAAGCUGCAUCUAUUAAGAACCCUCUUUCUACGAAAUGUAAUCUACAUGAGACUGAUACUCAUCAAUAUACUUUGAGGAUUGUGGAGUUCCUAGAGCAGAUGCUGCCCAGUAUGCUCACCAUGCCAGCAAAGAGGCAGCAAGAGCACGGUACUCGGUGUAACAAAAAGAGAAUUCCCCAUCAACCCUUAUUUCUUUCAACAGGGUCUGUAGUUGUUGUUGCUGUCAUUAAAAUAAAUAGAAAAACUACACAAGGUAAUAAAUUCUCUGUCUUACCAGACUCCCUAUGGCAGUUUUACAAGUAUUGUUUUGACCUUUUUUGCUAUGUACCAGAAUGCUCUGACUUGGCAGCUCCUUCCAGAAAGCUGUCAACACACAGGGAACAGUACAGAGAACAAGCCAUCAUUGAAGUCAAAGUAGUAAUAUAUCUGACUGAAAUUUAAAAUUUCUAUAGAAAAUCAUGUAACCCUCACACCCAAUCUUGCCACCACCAAUACCUAAGAUAAUUUAGCAGUGCACUAUAUUAGUUAAAUGCUUUGGAUAAUACUCAAGAAACUUGCAUUUCUUAUGUUAAAGCCAACAACACAAAAGAGGAGCAAUCACAACAUCUUUUUCAUCAUUAGUGGUUUUUUCAACAGUUCUCUUUGAACCCUGAUUUCCUAAAUUCGAAUUUGUCACAUGAACCUAUAACUGUUUGAUCAUUAUUGAAAGGGGUAAAAAUCUGGGAUACUAGCUUCCUGGGAUUUAACAAUUCACAAGUAGUUUUAAUUUUUAAAAACAAAGACAUAUCAAACAAUUUGUGAAAAAAUGGCCUUAGUUUUGGUGAUUUAGAAAGAAAAUGACCAGAAAACUCAGAAACUGAAUGCUUUUGAAAAUGCAAAAUAGUCCUUCUUCCUAACCAAAUGAGCAACAGUUUUACUGUACAGACUCUAUGAUGAUUACAUACCUAUAAC
rnacentral:lncRNA from 1 species